rnacentral:rRNA from 1 species
GAUGAACGCUAGCGGCAGGCUUAAUACAUGCAAGUCGAGGGGCAGCACAGAUAGCAAUAUUGGGUGGCGACCGGCAAACGGGUGCGGAACACGUACACAACCUUCCUUUUAGUGUGGGAUAGCCCAGAGAAAUUUGGAUUAAUACCACAUAGUAUAUUGGAGUGGCAUCACUUUGAUAUUAAAGAUUUAUCGCUAAAAGAUGGGUGUGCGUAUGAUUGGGUAGUUGGCGGGGUAACGGCCCACCAAGCCUGCGAUCAGUAACUGGUGUGAGAGCACGAACAGUCACACGGGCACUGAGACACGGGCCAGACUCCUACGGGAGGCAGCAGUAAGGAAUAUUGGUCAAUGGACGAAAGUCUGAACCAGCCAUGCCGCGUGGAGGAUGAAGGUCCUCUGGAUUGUAAACUUCUUUUAUAUGGGACGAAAAAGGGUCUUUCUAGAUCAACUGACGGUACCAUAUGAAUAAGCACCGGCUAACUCCGUGCCAGCCGCCGCAGUAACAC